GACGAACGCUGGCGGCGUGCUUAACACAUGCAAGUCGAACGGAAAGGCCCUGCUUUUGUGGGGUGCUCGAGUGGCGAACGGGUGAGUAACACGUGAGUAACCUGCCCUUGACUUUGGGAUAACUUCAGGAAACUGGGGCUAAUACCGGAUAGGAGCUCCUGCUGCAUGGUGGGGGUUGGAAAGUUUCGGCGGUUGGGGCUGGACGCGCGGCUUAUCAGCUUGUUGGUGGGGUAGUGGCUUACCAAGGCUUUGACGGGUAGCCGGCCUGGGAGGGUGACCGGCGACAUUGGGACUGAGAUACGGCCCAGACUCCUACGGGAGGCAGCAGUGGGGAAUCUUGCCCAAUGGGCGGAAGCCUGAUGCAGCAACGCCGCGUGCGGGAUGACGGCCUUCGGGUUGUAAACCGCUUUCGCCUGUGACCAAGCGUGAGUGACGGUAAUGGGUAAAGAAGCACCGGCUAACUACGUG
rnacentral:rRNA from 1 species